rnacentral:rRNA from 1 species
UGGGGAAUAUUGGACAAUGGGGGGAACCCUGAUCCAGCCAUGCCGCGUGUGUGAAGAAGGCCUUAUGGUUGUAAAGCACUUUAAGCGAGGAGGAGGCUCUUUUGGUUAAUACCCAGAAUGAGUGGACGUUACUCGCAGAAUAAGCACCGGCUAACUCUGUGCCAGCAGCCGCGGUAAUACAGAGGGUGCAAGCGUUAAUCGGAUUUACUGGGCGUAAAGCGCGCGUAGGCGGCCAAUUAAGUCAAAUGUGAAAUCCCCGAGCUUAACUUGGGAAUUGCAUUCGAUACUGGUUGGCUAGAGUGUGGGAGAGGAUGGUAGAAUUCCAGGUGUAGCGGUGAAAUGCGUAGAGAUCUGGAGGAAUACCGAUGGCGAAGGCAGCCAUCUGGCCUAACACUGACACUGAGGUGCGAAAGCGUGGGGAGCAAACAGGAUUAGAUACCCCCGUAGUCCCUGAGCGGGCUGGCAAGGCGCAU